rnacentral:rRNA from 1 species
UCUGGUAUUGACUGAUGCUUGCAUCAUGAUUUACAUUUGAGUGAGUGGCGAACUGGUGAGUAACACGUGGGAAACCUGCCCAGAAGCGGGGGAUAACACCUGGAAACAGAUGCUAAUACCGCAUAACAACUUGGACCGCAUGGUCCGAGUUUGAAAGAUGGCUUCGGCUAUCACUUUUGGAUGGUCCCGCGGCGUAUUAGCUAGAUGGUGGGGUAACGGCUCACCAUGGCAAUGAUACGUAGCCGACCUGAGAGGGUAAUCGGCCACAUUGGGACUGAGACACGGCCCAAACUCCUACGGGAGGCAGCAGUAGGGAAUCUUCCACAAUGGACGAAAGUCUGAUGGAGCAACGCCGCGUGAGUGAAGAAGGGUUUCGGCUCGUAAAACUCUGUUGUUAAAGAAGAACAUAUCUGAGAGUAACUGUUCAGGUAUUGACGGUAUUUAACCAGAAAGCCACGGCUAACUACGUGCCAGCAGCCGCGGUAAUACGUAGGUGGCAAGCGUUGUCCGGAUUUAUUGGGCGUAAAGCGAGCGCAGGCGGUUUUUUAAGUCUGAUGUGAAAGCCUUCGGCUCAACCGAAGAAGUGCAUCGGAAACUGGGAAACUUGAGUGCAGAAGAGGACAGUGGAACUCCAUGUGUAGCGGUGAAAUGCGUAGAUAUAUGGAAGAACACCAGUGGCGAAGGCGGCUGUCUGGUCUGUAACUGACGCUGAGGCUCGAAAGUAUGGGUAGCAAACAGGAUUAGAUACCCUGGUAGUCCAUACCGUAAACGAUGAAUGCUAAGUGUUGGAGGGUUUCCGCCCUUCAGUGCUGCAGCUAACGCAUUAAGCAUUCCGCCUGGGGAGUACGGCCGCAAGGCUGAAACUCAAAGGAAUUGACGGGGGCCCGCACAAGCGGUGGAGCAUGUGGUUUAAUUCGAAGCUACGCGAAGAACCUUACCAGGUCUUGACAUACUAUGCAAAUCUAAGAGAUUAGACGUUCCCUUCGGGGACAUGGAUACAGGUGGUGCAUGGUUGUCGUCAGCUCGUGUCGUGAGAUGUUGGGUUAAGUCCCGCAACGAGCGCAACCCUUAUUAUCAGUUGCCAGCAUUAAGUUGGGCACUCUGGUGAGACUGCCGGUGACAAACCGGAGGAAGGUGGGGAUGACGUCAAAUCAUCAUGCCCCUUAUGACCUGGGCUACACACGUGCUACAAUGGAUGGUACAACGAGUUGCGAACUCGCGAGAGUAAGCUAAUCUCUUAAAGCCAUUCUCAGUUCGGAUUGUAGGCUGCAACUCGCCUACAUGAAGUCGGAAUCGCUAGUAAUCGCGGAUCAGCAUGCCGCGGUGAAUACGUUCCCGGGCCUUGUACACACCGCCCGUCACACCAUGAGAGU